rnacentral:rRNA from 1 species
AACGAACGCUGGCGGCAGGCUUAACACAUGCAAGUCGAGCGCCCCGCAAGGGGAGCGGCAGACGGGUGAGUAACGCGUGGGAACGUACCUUUUGGUUCGGAACAACUCCGGGAAACUGGAGCUAAUACCGGAUAAGCCCUAACGGGGAAAGAUUUAUCGCCGAAAGAUCGGCCCGCGUCUGAUUAGCUAGUUGGUGAGGUAACGGCUCACCAAGGCGACGAUCAGUAGCUGGUCUGAGAGGAUGAUCAGCCACACUGGGACUGAGACACGGCCCAGACUCCUACGGGAGGCAGCAGUGGGGAAUAUUGGACAAUGGGCGCAAGCCUGAUCCAGCCAUGCCGCGUGAGUGAUGAAGGCCUUAGGGUUGUAAAGCUCUUUUGUCCGGGAAGAUAAUGACUGUGCCGGAAGAAUAAGCCCCGGCUAACUUCGUG